rnacentral:rRNA from 1 species
CCUACGGGAGGCAGCAGUAGGGAAUAUUGCUCAAUGGGGUAAACCCUGAAGCAGCAACGCCGCGUGGAGGAUGACUGUCUUCUGAUUGUUAACUCCUUUUUGUAGAGAAGAUAAUGACGGUAUCUAACGAAUAAGCACCGGCUAACUCCGAGCCAGCAGCCGCGGUAAUACGGAGGGUGCAAGCGUUACUCGGAAUCACUGGGCGUAAAGAGGGCUUAGGCGGGAUAGCAAGUCAGUUGUGAAAUCCUAGGGCUUAACCAUAGAACUGCAGUUGAAACUGUUAUUCUAGAGUAGGGGAGAGGUAGGUGGAAUGCGUGGUGUAGGGGUAAAAUGCGUAGAGAUCAAGAGGAAUACUCAUUGCGAAGGCGGCCUGCUAGAACAUAACUGACGCUGAUGCGCGAAAGCGUGGGGAGCGAACAGGAUUAGAUACCCGAGUAGUC